rnacentral:lncRNA from 1 species
GGCUCACCUACGUAAGUCUAUGCACAGAAGGAAUGGCUAUACUUACAGGCACAAACCAGAAAGUGACAGAGCCAAGUAUCGAACCCAGGAUUUCUGGCUUAAGAGGCAGAGUUGGUGCCACUAACUCACGGAUGCUGAGACAUCUACUUCAGUGAGAUAGCAUUUACCCCUGAGGGGAAAAGGGGAGAUCAGAGUGGAAAAUUCAGCACCUAUUCUUGGUAGAAGGCUAGAAAAGAAGCAGCAGCAAGGCUCUUCUACGGUUGAGGGCCAACUGUCUGUGGCUGAGUUGCUGCUGAGAGGCCUGCCCUGGCUUCUCCCCAGGGGCCUGGCCCUGGGCUGGAGAGCACAGCCCCCAAGGCUGCCUUCCCGUGGACAUGCAGCUGAACGUUAAUUGGCUUUUGUCCCCUUCCCAGGCAGGGCACAGCAGAAGCAGACCCUUUUCAUGUGGCAGGUUUCUGGCCGAUGAUGUAUGACCUGUUGGCGCUCCUGAAUGGUGCCCUUUGUUUCAGGAUAUCCCAUGUGCCCCCUUUUUAUUGAGCUGUUGAUUCAGAGGCGCAGGAAAGUUCCACAAAUCCCACUGCAGGCCCGGCUCUGGCCAUGCCCAGGUGGGGAAGCCCAGGGACCUCACGCUUCCCAGGAAGCUGGCAGGAAGCCGUGGGCUGCCUCGAGGCAAAAUACCCCUUUAAGAAGUGGCUUUCUUCAUGUCAGACUCAGCCAACCAUGUGUUUGGAGAGAACCUGGGAACAUCCGCGUUGCCCCCAGCCCUCUGCCUGGGCUCUAGAAGGUGUGGAGUGUCCCAGAUGUGCUGUCUUCACCCAGAAAGAAAAGAGCGCAGCAGGUGGGAGUUAGGAAGAGCCCUCUCACUUCCCUGUCCCCUGAGCCAAGCUCAGUUAACAUCUUUCUCCAUGACCAAGAAUCCCAAGGUGUGCGCCAGCAGCUAAGGGAGGAUGGAGCUUGGCUUCCUGUUCUGCAGGAAGAAGUCCAGCCAGAGAGCAGCCUAGAGCCACAAAAGGACUCUGGAGAAACAGGAGACAAGGUUGAGUCUUUACCCAGCAGGAAGUCUCAUCUCAGUCCUGACAGGGCAAGGAUUCAAGGGCAUGCCUCCCUUGCCUUCUCUUUUCCUGGGUUCCUAGACCAGCCUGCAGUGGAGAUGGUGGAUGCGGGUAAGCAGCUUUGGGGAAGGAGCAAUGAGGGGCAGGGCAGGUGGCAAGGCUGUAAGGAGGGAGACCCAGCAGCGCCUUCCUAUGCCUGCCUCUUCCAAUCUAGGGUGAACCUGGGCUGGAUUUCACCUUGCUUUUCCUCUCUCCAUCUUGUGGCCAAGCUUUAGGGACCUGGCAAAGGUGCAGGCGAAUGGGGACUUUGCCAGGCCUUGACUCACCCAUUCUGGGGUGAUGGUGGUGAUGAGCUCAUGCCCCUGACUGCUCCAGGAAGCCCCCCGCACUGACUCAAACCUGCUCUUCAGUUCCUUUUCUGAAGCAGCUGCAUAAAUCCCACCAGGAAUUCCCUACUUACGAGACCACUUCCCCCAAAUGGCCAGCUUAUGUGUUGACUGCUGAAAGGAGACAGAUUCCUGCUUUACUGCCUGCCCGCCCUUCUGGGGUCUUUGUGGACCCUGGAGUCCAGAUUCAUAACCCAGGGAGUAGCAUGAGAUCAAAGGUGCAAUUGCUCUGUGGUCCUAGGUGACUUCACUGUGAGCUCAGAGGCUCCACGGUACACAUGUUCAGAGGUACUGAGGGCCUUACCUGACACUUGAGAAAAAGAAUACCAGCAAAAAAGAGGCAGAGGCCGUUGCAGAGCCAAGAAAUGACAAGUCAGUAAUAAAGAGCAUCCACACACUUCACAGUUGUAAAAUGGCUUUAUGUUCCGAUAUGCAAAAUAAAACAUCCAUGCUAUAUAACAAAACACUUGAAGUUCCAUAUCACCU